UACGAAGGGGGCUAGCGUUGCUCGGAAUCACUGGGCGUAAAAGGGUGCGUAGGCGGGUCUUUAAGUUCAGGGGUGAAAUCCUGGAAGCUCAACGUCCAGAACUACGCCUUUGAUACUGAAGAUCUUGAGUUCGGGAGAGGUGAGUGGAACUGCGGAAGUGUAGAGGUGAAAUUCGUAGAUAUUACGCAAGAACACCAGUGGCGAAGGCG
rnacentral:rRNA from 1 species